rnacentral:tRNA from 1 species
GCCCACGUAGCUCAGUGGUAGAGCACUUCCUUGGUAAGGAAGAGGUCUCGAGUUCAAUCCUCGACGUGGGCUCCA